AGUGAACGCUGGCGGUAGGCCUAACACAUGCAAGUCGAACGGCAGCACAGUAAGAGCUUGCUCUUACGGGUGGCGAGUGGCGGACGGGUGAGGAAUACAUCGGAAUCUACUUUUUCGUGGGGGAUAACGUAGGGAAACUUACGCUAAUACCGCAUACGACCUACGGGUGAAAGCAGGGGAUCUUCGGACCUUGCGCGAUUGAAUGAGCCGAUGUCGGAUUAGCUAGUUGGCGGGGUAAAGGCCCACCAAGGCGACGACCCGUAGCUGGUUUGGGAGGAUGAUCAGCCACACUGGAACUGAGACACGGUCCAGACGCCUACGGGAGGCAGCAGUGGGGAAUAUUGGACAAUGGGCGCAAGCCUGAUCCAGCCAUACCGCGUGGGUGAAGAAGGCCUUCGGGUUGUAAAGCCCUUUUGUUGGGAAAGAAAAGCAGCAGGUUAAUACCCCGCUGUUCUGACGGUACCCAAAGAAUAAGCACCGGCUAACUUCGUG
rnacentral:rRNA from 1 species